CGCAAUCUACCCAGAACUGGGGCAUAGCCCGGGGAAACCCGGAUUAAUACCCCGUAACAUAAUGAAGUGGCAUCACUUUAUUAUAAAAGCUCCGGCGGUUUUGGAUGAGCGUGCGGCCCAUUAGGUAGUUGGCGGGGUAAUGGCCCACCAAGCCUGCGAUGGGUAACUGGUGUGAGAGCACGACCAGUCACACGGGCACUGAGACACGGGCCCGACUCCUACGGGAGGCAGCAGAAAGGAAUAUUGGUCAAUGGACGCAAGUCUGAACCAGCCAUGCCGCGUGGAGGAUGAAGGCCCUCUGGGUUGUAAACUUCUUUUAUGGGGGACGAAACCCCUUUUU
rnacentral:rRNA from 1 species